rnacentral:rRNA from 1 species
UACGAGGGGGGCGAGCGUUGUUCGGAUUUAUUGGGCGUAAAGCGCGUGUAGGCGGUCUUCUAAGUCUGAUGUGAAAGCCCUGGGCUCAACCCAGGAAGUGCAUUGGAUACUGGAAGACUUGAAUACGGGAGAGGGUAGUGGAAUUCCUAGUGUAGGAGUGAAAUCCGUAGAUAUUAGGAGGAACACCGGUGGCGAAGGCGGCUACCUGGACCGAUAUUGACGCUGAGACGCGAAAGCGUGGGGAGCAAACAGG